rnacentral:rRNA from 1 species
GGCAUGGAUUAGGCAUGCAAGUCGAGCGAGAACCGUAGCAAUACGGGGACAGCGGCGAAAGGGAGAGUAAUGCGUGGAUAUCUACCUCCAGGCCUGGGAUAGCCGCGGGAAACUGCGUGUAAUACCAGAUAAUGUCUCCGGACCAAAGGUGUGAUUCCUCCGGGAGAUGAGUCCACGUCCUAUUAGCUAGUUGGUAGGGUAAUGGCCUACCAAGGCAAUGAUGGGUAGCAGGUGUGAGAGCACGACCUGCCUCAUUGGGACUGAGAUACUGCCCAGACACCUACGGGUGGCUGCAGUCGAGAAUCUUCGGCAAUGGGCGCAAGCCUGACCGAGCGAUGCCGCGUGCGGGAUGAAGGCCUUCGGGUUGUAAACCGCUGUCAGAGGGGAUGAAAUACGCUGGGGGUUCUCCCCCAGGUUUGACAUAUCCUCAGAGGAAGGACGGGCUAAGUUCGUGCCAGCAGCCGCGGUAAGACGAACCGUCCAAACGUUAUUCGGAAUUACUGGGCUUAAAGGGUGCGUAGGCGGCCCGGCAAGUUGGGUGUGAAAUACCUCGGCUCAACCGAGGAACAGCGCUCAAAACUGCCAGGCUUGAGGGAGAUAGAGGUGAGCGGAACUUAAGGUGGAGCGGUGAAAUGCGUUGAUAUCUUAAGGAACACCUGUGGCGAAAGCGGCUCACUGGAUCUCUUCUGACGCUCAUGCACGAAAGCUAGGGGAGCAAACGGGAUUAGAUACCCCGGUAGUCCUAGCCGUAAACGAUGAGCACUGGGUUGGAGGCCCCCUCAUAGGCUUCCGGCCGAAGCGAAAGUGUUAAGUGCUCCGCCUGGGGAGUAUGGUCGCAAGACUGAAACUCAAAGGAAUUGACGGGGGCUCACACAAGCGG